GAGUGUUUCCUUUUUCUUGCCAUCUCUUCCCUAACACUCAAUCUGUGAGCAAAUACUUUCAGAUAUCCCUCCAAAAUAAAUAAGCUUUACCUCUGCAACAAAUAAUAAAUUAUGAUAUCAUCAUCUUUGCUUAGACUACCACAAAGCCUCCUAACCAGUCUCUAGUUUUCUCAGUUAGGUCCUAGCAGGAUAUGGAUGGUGUACUCAACUUGAAGACAGCUGCUCUCCUUCUGACAGCCUGCUGAAAAUGCCAUUGGUUCAACACAACUAGAAGCCAGAAAGUGGAGUCUCUACAGGUCAGCCUCCUGAGACACAGAUGGAGAAGAAUGAAAAUUAAUAGAGACUGAUGCAUACGAAGCUUACAGAUAGUGGAAGAAAAGAGGUCAGUGGUCACCCAGGAUUCUAAGAGCAAGGAGGAGGAGUUUCUCCUCUCAAAAUCCAAUGUUCACCAGGUCGUGAUGCCUUCCUUUGAAUGAAGCAUUUGAGACUGUAUUUGUUUUUCUUUCAUAUGAAGGAAGAC